rnacentral:rRNA from 1 species
AAUCAACGCUGGCGGCGUGCCUAACACAUGCAAGUCGCACGAGAAAGGGUCUUCGGAUCUGAGUAAAGUGGCGCACGGGUGAGUAACACGUGAAUUAUCUACCUUCGAGUGGGGAAUAACUUCGGGAAACCGAGGCUAAUACCGCAUAAUAUCUACGGAUCAAAGCAGUAAUGCGCUUGAAGAGGAGUUCGCGGCAGAUUAGUUAGUUGGCGGGGUAAUGGCCCACCAAGACGAUGAUCUGUAUCCGGCCCGAGAGGGCGCACGGACACACUGGAACUGAAACACGGUCCAGACUCCUACGGGAGGCAGCAGUGGGGAAUUUUGCGCAAUGGGGGAAACCCUGACGCAGCAACGCCGCGUGGAGGAUGAAGUCUCUCGGGACGUAAACUCCUUUCGAUAGGGAAGAUUAUGACGGUACCUAUAGAAGAAGCCCCGGCUAACUUCGUGCCAGCCGCCGCGGUAA